rnacentral:rRNA from 1 species
AUUGAACGCUGGCGGCAGGCUUAACACAUGCAAGUCGAGCGGGGGAGGUUGCUUCGGUAACUGACCUAGCGGCGGACGGGUGAGUAAUGCUUAGGAAUCUGCCUAUUAGUGGGGGACAACAUCUCGAAAGGGAUGCUAAUACCGCAUACGUCCUACGGGAGAAAGCAGGGGACCUUCGGGCCUUGCGCUAAUAGAUGAGCCUAAGUCGGAUUAGCUAGUUGGUGGGGUAAAGGCCUACCAAGGCGACGAUCUGUAGCGGGUCUGAGAGGAUGAUCCGCCACACUGGGACUGAGACACGGCCCAGACUCCUACGGGAGGCAGCAGUGGGGAAUAUUGGACAAUGGGGGGAACCCUGAUCCAGCCAUGCCGCGUGUGUGAAGAAGGCCUUAUGGUUGUAAAGCACUUUAAGCGAGGAGGAGGCUACUGAGACUAAUACUCUUGGAUAGUGGACGUUACUCGCAGAAUAAGCACCGGCUAACUCUGUGCCAGCCGCCGCGGUAAAAC